ACAUCCAGAGAAUUUAGCAGAGAUGCUUUAGUGCCUUCGGGAACUCUGAGACAGGUGCUGCAUGGCUGUCGUCAGCUCGUGUUGUGAAAUGUUGGGUUAAGUCCCGCAACGAGCGCAACCCUUAUCCUUUGUUGCCAGCACGUAAUGGUGGGAAACUCAAAGGAGACUGCCGGUGAUAAACCGGAGGAAGGUGGGAUGACGUCAAGUCAUCAUGGCCCUUACGAGUAGGGCUACACACGUGCUACAAUGGCGCAUACAAAGAGAAGCGACCUCGCGAGAGCAAGCGGACCUCAUAAAGUGCGUCGUAGUCCGGAUUGGAGUCUGCAACUCGACUCCAUGAAGUCGGAAUCGCUAGUAAUCGUAAAUCAGAAUGUUACGGUGAAUACGUUCCCGGGCCUUGUACGCACCGCCCGUCACACCAUGGGAGUGGGUUGCAAAAGAAGUAGAUAGCUUAACCUUCGGGAGGGCGUUUACCACUUUGUGAUUCAUGACUGGGGUGAAGUCGUAACAAGGUAAGCGUAGUGCU
rnacentral:rRNA from 1 species